rnacentral:misc_RNA from 1 species
UCGACCAUUGAACAGCAUAUCAAAACUAGGUAUAGUCUCCAACAAGCAUCCACGUUUCGUAAUAAAAACAAAACAUAUCCGAAGCAGAUGUGCCGGCAAAAUAUUUGAAAAGAAAGAAGAGUGUUAUUAAUGCCAUGCAUCGACGGCAUAUAGGAAAGAGUGAUCGUUCGCAGCAGAAAACAAAUGAAUCUAAUGAUGAGAACGAAAAAGAAGAAAUUGUCCAUGAACGUGAUUGCCGAUGUGAAAGACUGUCUCUUUACGGACGUUUAUGUGAGCGUCUUUCCUUUAUGAAAUAUGUGAUUUUGGUACUGAUAAUACCACCAAUUCUGAAUUUAGCUGCUUUAAAAAGAGAAAGUUUCGUACUUCUUCCCAAGCAAGGAGAACAAAUUGAUAUGGGGUGGGGUCAGAAGAUGUUUGUCAGCUGCUUAGGGGAAGGCCUUCCAGUAGUUAUUCUUGAUGCACCAACUGGAGGGACAUCUGAUGUGUGGUAUUUAGUUCAGGAAAAGCUAUCCAGAGUAUCAAAGGUUUGUGUUUAUGACCGUGCUGGACUUGGAUUCAGUGAUUUACCAUUUGUGAAUGAUAUGAACCAGAAAUCAAAAGUUGAAAACAGGAAAUUUGUUUCACAGGUUGCAACUUUAGAACAGAUGACAUGCGACCUUCAUCAUCUUGUAACAAAUGCAAAGCCAUUGCCACGUCCUUUCAUUAUGGUUGGUGCUGAAACUGGGGGUCUAAUUACCAGACAUUAUGCCAUGACAUAUCCUGAGGAUGUAAGUGACAUAGUUUUGGUUAAUCCCUUGGUAGAAGAUUUAUUUUGGCGUCAAAAAGAAGACUGGAAUAAUUAUUGGAAUCUGAAUUUACUACCAAUGUUGCAGUCUUUGCAAUUAUCAGCUUAUGCAGGUAUUUCUCGAAUAGCUGCUCUUACGGGUUAUUUAAAAUCAGACAUUGCAGGUCAUUCCAUUCCAAAGGAUGUGGAACUUAGACAGUCACAUGAGUGCAGUUUUUCAAGAGCAUCUUAAUCUCAACACCAGCUUUUCUCAAAUGAAUGAAGUGUGGCAAACAAAGCCUUUUCCUAAGAAUAUAUCUGUGACUGUGGUAAACAGCGAAAAGUUUGAGAAAUUUCCUCCUUUUCUUCAAAAGGCAUGGCAGCAGUCUCAACUUUAUUUACGUCAAAGCCUCCAUCCAACA